rnacentral:rRNA from 1 species
CGAAUUCAGAUUAGGCAGCAGUGGGGAAUAUUGCACAAUGGGCGCAAGCYUGAUGCAGCCAUGCCGCGUGUGUGAAGAAGGCUUUCGGGUUGUAAAGCACUUUCAGCGAGGAGGAAAGGUUGUACUUUAAUAGAGUGCAGCUGUGACGUUACUCGCAGAAGAAGCACCGGCUAACUCCGUGCCAGCAGCCGCGGUAAUACGGAGGGUGCGAGCGUUAAUCGGAAUUACUGGGCGUAAAGCGCGCGUAGGUGGUUAAUUAAGUCAGAUGUGAAAUCCCAGGGCUCAACCUUGGAACUGCAUUUGAAACUGGUUAACUAGAGUUUUGUAGAGGGUGGUAGAAUUUCAGGUGUAGCGGUGAAAUGCGUAGAGAUCUGAAGGAAUACCAGUGGCGAAGGCGGCCACCUGGACAAAGACUGACACUUGAGGCGCGAAGGCGUGGGGAGCAAACGGGAUUAGAUACCCCGGUAGUCCACGCAGUAAACGAUGUCUAUUAGAAUUUUGUGGCUAUAUGCCGUGGGAUUCAAAGCUAACGCAUUAAAUAGACCGCCUGGGGAGUACGGUCGCAAGAUUAAAACUCAAAGGAAUUGACGGGG